GACGAACGCUGGCGGCGCGCUUAACACAUGCAAGUCGAACGGAAAGGCCUGCUUUCCCUUGUGGAUUGCGGGUACUCGAGUGGUGAACGGGUGAGUAACACGUGAGUGAUCUGCCCCCAACUUGGGUAUAAGCCUGGGAAACUGGGUCUAAUUCCCGAUAGGACUGCAGGGUGGUGCCUGUGGUGGAAAACGAUUUUCUAGUGGUUGGGGAUGAGCUCGCGGCCUAUCAGCUUGUUGGUGGGGUAAUGGCCUACCAAGGCGGCGACGGGUAGCCGGCCUGGGAGGGUGGACGGCCACAUUGGGACUGAGAUACGGCCCAGACUCCUACGGGAGGCAGCAGUGGGGAAUAUUGCACAAUGGGCGGAAGCCUGAUGCAGCGACGCCGCGUGGGGGAUGACGGCCUUCGGGUUGUAAACUCCUUUCGACCGCGAGGAAGCCACCUGGUUGGAAGGGUGGUGACGGUAGUGGUAGAAGAAGCACCGGCUAACUACGUG
rnacentral:rRNA from 1 species